GCGGGCCCUCCUCCUGCACGAGGCCCUGGAGGCGGGUCUCGGGCCGGGGUUGUGCAUGUUGUUGAGACCCCUCCCGCCUGGGGCUCAGGGCGCAUUAGCGCUCCAGUUUUGCCUUUCGCGCGGCAUGGCGGUGACAGGUUAGCAUCUCUGAGGCGUCCUCUUCCCGUUGGCUGCCUGGGAGCCACCCGCUCUGCUUGGUGGGCGACCGUGUUGAGCACUGCCCUCCCGGAAACCCCGGCUCUGCCCCGACUCUACCUGCGGGGCAGAAAGGGCUUAGGAGUCUUCGUCGUGGUGUGUACGGUGGUGUGCGGUACUGUUGAAGGAGUGCUGUGUUGCAGCCUUCGCUUUCUCCUCCGUAAAGUAGGGAUAACGAAGUAACACAUGUGUUAAGAAACCAGUGCAUAGGCUAUGCGCAAUAAAUGCCUCUAGACCGAGUGAAGACACUUUCUUCUUUCUUGAUUCAGGCUGAUCCAGUGGCCGACCAGACCCCCCACCUUUAAUAAUGUGGAGGAAGUGCGGGGCUACCUUACAACCCCACUCUUUGUUCUCAAACCUCUCUGAAGAGAAGCCAGCAUAAAAUUAGGAAUUGGAGCACCCUCAGCCCACACACGUCUGCUCCUAGAGCCGUUCUUGUCAGGUAGUUUGUUACUUUGGUGGCCCCCCUGAAACUUGCCUCCUCACAGUAUAACCUUAUGUGGUCGUCGACCCUGGAACCUGGACUGGACCUGUGACUUGAUUUAACCAAUGGAAGAAUGUGCAGAAGUGACUGUGCCAAUUACAGAGAUAAGCUUUGAGAAUACCUGGUAACCUUGAUUUCAAGCUCAUUAUAAUUCUGAGCUACUCCCCCUCUUCCACCUUGCUGUAGAAAGAUGGCACACAGAGACCACCACAUGGAGAGGCAAAAGCCCUGAGACUACAUGGAGGAAAAGUAAGGACCCAGUUAUCACCAAGAACUGAGGUCCCAGACACAUGAACCCUGAUGAACCCAGAUGAACCCUGAUGAGUCCCUGCUGAGGGACCAGUCAUUGAGGGGAGAAGCCAUCUGAGCUGUUCCUCAUUACCUAAAACAGAGCAAAACUGAACCACUACACCUGGAAAUUUUAAUGUCUGUAGCAAAGAAUUCCUGGAACUGCUCUAACUACAUGCCCAAGGAGGAAAUCCAGACAAGAAAACUUUCCAGGAUCUUCUCCUUCAGAAAGGUAAAAAGCAGUUCUGGGGAUUUAUGUAUUUAAUAAGCAUUCCAGUCCUCCUUUUCCUCUUGCUCAGAAGGAAAUCCUGAGAUAAGAAUUUGAGCACAAGUACCUAUUUUGGGAGAUAAUACCAGGAAAACCCAGCUGGAGAGUGGGGAAGAGAUUCCAGGCAAGGAAAGCAGCCAAUGAAGUGCCCAUUCUCAAGCAAGUAAUCACUGUGGGCAACAGAAGUUCAGUCCUACUGAGGAGCCUUCAGAAACACUGUGGAGCAUGUGACUUGGAGUCAUCCUAUGUAGGGAGCAAGAACUCAGGGUAUUUAUAACAGCCUGCUGAUAUGGAAGGUGGGCCAACAUGCAGGGAAGUGGUACAUGCCAAGGAGCACCAACAGCGUCUGCCAAACCACCAAAGGGUCUUUUGAAAACUCAGGGGAAAAAGCAUGUCUUUCACCCACCUAAAGUCUUUUCCUGUAGAAAAAUCCAAAAUUGUUGGCCUGGCCUAUAGGUUUCUCCACACUGACUACCAGCUCCUUUCCUGCCUCACCCACUACCUCCUUUUCCAGGAAGUCUUAUCUCUACCCACAUCGAACCACUGUCCAUCUGCUCCCUCAGAAGCAGCCGCUUUCUGUCAAACCCUCACUUCUUUGCAUUCAUUGUUUUCUCUGCCUAUAAUGCCCUUCGCUUAUUCUCUUCCUAGAAAAUGAUUCUAGAACGCAGUGAUUAGGAAAGGGGCAAUGGGGAAAGACAGAGCUAGAAUCAAAACUCAGUUCUAAUGUAGCCAGCAUUUGCUUUGCUUAGUGAACACUGCCAAAUGACGGGAUAUGAAGUUGGUCAGGCCUGAGGGUUUGUGAGAAAUGAUGAUGGAACACUGGGGAAGAAUAAAAGAGGUUUAGGGAUCUGGGUAGCUCAGUCGGUUUGAAUAUCUGACUCUUCUUUUUGGCUUGGUCAUAGUCUCAGGGUUGUAAGCCUGUAAGGGCUCCGUGCUCAGUGCAGAGUCUGUUUGAG